rnacentral:rRNA from 1 species
GACGAACGCUGGCGGCGUGCUUAACACAUGCAAGUCGAACGGAAAGGCCCUGCUUUUGUGGGGUGCUCGAGUGGCGAACGGGUGAGUAACACGUGAGUAACCUGCCCUUGACUUUGGGAUAACUUCAGGAAACUGGGGCUAAUACCGGAUAGGAGCUCCUGCUGCAUGGUGGGGGUUGGAAAGUUUCGGCGGUUGGGGAUGGACUCGCGGCUUAUCAGCUUGUUGGUGGGGUAGUGGCUUACCAAGGCUUUGACGGGUAGCCGGCCUGAGAGGGUGACCGGCCACAUUGGGACUGAGAUACGGCCCAGACUCCUACGGGAGGCAGCAGUGGGGAAUAUUGCACAAUGGGCGGAAGCCUGAUGCAGCAACGCCGCGUGCGGGAUGACGGCCUUCGGGUUGUAAACCGCUUUCGCCUGUGACGAAGCGUGGGUGACGGUAAUGGGUAAAGAAGCACCGGCUAUCUACGUG